rnacentral:misc_RNA from 1 species
GAUCAGACAAUUAACCUGAUUUAAUCCACGAAAAUGAAUGAUCACCCUCAGGGAAGAGGGAGAAAAAGGAAAGCAGAAAGUAACAAAUCUGCAACAAAGAUGAAUGUAAAUGACAAAAGUGAAAAUUAUUUGACUGCUAAAAGGAAGAAGAAAGUCAGUUGUAAGAAUGAGGAACAUAAUAGGCAAGAGAAAAUGAAACCAUCGUUUGAGAAGAAACAUAAAAAGUCAUCCACUACUGUUAUUGAAAAAAGAUCUAACUCACAGUCAGAUAAGGUAAAUGACAAAGAGAAAGAAUCGGUUGUGAUGGAGUUAGAAACAAAUAUACUGCAGGAGGACACUACCGUGGACAUGUCUGAAAAAUAUCUACGAGACAAGAACGAGUCAGAAGAGCUGAAUUUAACAGCUGAAAUUGCUUCCAAAGAUUCUACCAUCUGCAAAGUUGAGGAUAUGCUAAGGAUGUCACACAUGGAAGACACUGCAGAAUAUAAUCCACUGGAUAAUAUCACAGAAAGCAUCAUUCCAGUUGAAUCCUGUGAACAACCUGAUGAAGAUGUUGCUGAGAUUCCAGUGAUUUUAAAAGAAUCUACAGAUGCUGAUGUUGAUUCAGGUGUUGAUACUAAAACUAAAGAUGCGUCAAAGAACAAGGUUGAUACGUCAAAGCAGACUAAACCAGUUUCUCCAAAUACUGGCUUGAAUUCCAUCCUGACUAAACAUAAGGAUCACGAAACAGGUUGUCUGUGUCACAGCUUGAAUAGAAAUUUGAUUCCUGAUCCAGAUGAUGAAGAAAAGGAGAUAAGCAUGUUGGAAACUGAUGCAGAGUCUGAUUAUAAUAUGUUAUUAUGUGACAUGGAGAAAACAAUACAGUCUUUGGUAUGUCCUGACAUAGAUUCAAGUUCUAAAGUUGAACCACGUAGUAAUGGACAAAAGCAAAUAGAUGCUGAUUGUUUGGAAAUGGACCAGAUGCCAACUGUUGUCCCAGACCAAGAUGAAAAUAAAAACACAGCAGUUCAUUGCUUGGAAACAGAACUAAUGUCUACUCCUGUCCCAGAUCAUGAUAUGGAACACAAAAUCACAUCUCAGCAAAUGGAAACUAAACCAACACCACUUUUUAUUUCACGAGAAGAUGACCAAGAAAGAAAAGCUCCCCAGUGUUUGGAAGCAGAUCCAUCAUCUGCCAUUGUCCCAUACAUAGAUGAAGCACCAAAAACAUGUUCCCAGUUUUUAGUAACAGACUCAACAUCCAUUCAUAUUCCACAAAGAGAUGAAGAAAAGAAAACAGCCUCUAUGUGUUCAGACAGCCACACGAGUGAGACAAAAGCAAAUACUUCAAGAACAGAACAGUCCACUACAGAUGAAGAGAGUAAGCCAAAUCUAAACACAAAUACCAUACCAAUGGCUGAAGACAUGAUUGAAGAGAAGGAGUCAAGUUCUUUGUGUCAAAACAUUGUUUCAUUGAUCAACCCAAAGCAGAAUGUUCAUCUAGAAGCUGAUGAUUUAGCAAAUAAUGAAACAUCCUGUGAUCUAAUAACAAGGUCAAAGCCUAUACCACUACAGCAGUCGGAUUCUGGUAGUUCUUUGCAAAAAGACCAGGGUCCUAACCAGGAGCUUGCUGAGUCUGAGGGAAUUACCAGAUAUACCAAAGAUUUUGAAAAUGAUAACGGUAACAAAGAAAAAAAUACUUCAACAGAUAAAAAUACCUCUUUUGAUGGGGUUUCCAAAUGCUCAGAGAAGGUCCCCCAAAUGGAAUCAUCUGUGACAUCUGUCAGUACAGUCAAAGAAAAUCUGAGCAUCAGUGGGAAUUUCAGCAUUCUGUUGGAAGAUCCUUGCCCUCCAUAUGAAGAUAGAAAGGGUGUAGAAGCCUUACAAGAUAAAUCUAAAACUAAUUUUGACAGCUGUAUAAUUCAGUCUGAACACAACUUGAAAACCAAUAUAGCUGAGCUUAAGGAGUUACGGGUAGAAACUGAUUUAGAUCUAAAGCUCAAGGAAUCCAAAAAUGGUUCCAAUUUAGAUCUAAAGCUCAACGAAUGGAAGAAUGUAUCUGAUUUUGAUCUAAAUCUCAAGGAAUCGAAGAAUGUAUCUUAUUUAGAUUUAAAGCUCAAGGACUCCAUGGAAUUACCAGAUUUUGAUCUAAACCUCAUAGAUUCCAAGGAUGCAUCUGAUUUAGAUCUAAAGCUCAAGGACCCCAAGGAUGCAUCUGAUUUAGAUCUAAAGCUCAAGGACUCCAAGGAUGCAUCUGAUUUAGAUCUAAAGCUCGAGGACUGUAAGGGUGCAUCUGACUUAGAUCUAAAGCUCAAGGACUGUCAGGGUGCAUCUGACUUAGAUCUAAAGCUUGAAGACACCAAGGCUGUAUCAGAUUUAGAUAUAACGCUCAAGGACUCCAAGGUAGUGAUAGGUGAUCAACAAAACAACCAAAGUAGUAAGUUAAUCACAGAAAUAUGUUUACCUGUCGAUCAAGUCUUAUCAUCUGAGAAAUCCACAUCAUGCUUCUUGGACCUGGCUAAAGUAGAGACAGUGCAAUAUACAUUGGAUGAUACAGAUCUAUCUGACUCGCAGCUGUGUAAAAUAGACCUAGAAGAAUCACAAAGUUGCCUGAAAUCCAUUACUAUACGAAGGAAACAGGAGGAAGAAGGCCGGAAGGUGGUUCAGGGGCUCAUUCAUGAUAUGCAGUAUCUAAAUAAGCUGCUGUUGAAGACGAAGAGAGAGAUAGACACAGCUCUCAGAAAAAAACAGCAACAACUGCCUCAGAUGUGGAAGUCGAACGCACAGAACUAUGGACAGCCCACCCGCAAGUUUUAAAAAGUUUUAGAAAGUUAAACCCACAGAAUUAUAGACAGCCCACACAAAAGGUUUAGGAAGUCAAACCCACAGAUAUAUGUACAGCCCACACAAAAAGUUAUAUGGCGUCGGACAUAUGUUUAAGGACCACACAGAUAUUGAGAGAGAAAACCU